rnacentral:rRNA from 1 species
AUUGAACGCUGGCGGCAUGCCUUACACAUGCAAGUCGAACGGCAGCACGGGAGCAAUCCUGGUGGCGAGUGGCGAACGGGUGAGUAAAGUAUCGGAACGUGCCCAGUCGUGGGGGAUAACGUAGCGAAAGUUACGCUACUACCGCAUACGAUCUAUGGAUGAAAGCGGGGGAUCGCAAGACCUCGCGCGAUUGGAGCGGCCGAUAUCAGAUUAGGUAGUUGGUGGGGUAAAGGCUCACCAAGCCGACGAACUGUAGCUGGUCUGAGAGGACGACCAGCCACACUGGGACUGAGACACGGCCCAGACUCCUACGGGAGGCAGCAGUGGGGAAUUUUGGACAAUGGGCGCAAGCCUGAUCCAGCCAUGCCGCGUGCAGGAUGAAGGCCUUCGGGUUGUAAACUGCUUUUGUACGGAACGAAAAGGUUUGACUUAAUACGUUGGACUCAUGACGGUACCGUAAGAAUAAGCACCGGCUAACUACGUGCCAGCAGCCGCAGUAA